rnacentral:rRNA from 1 species
UACGUAGGGUGCAAGCGUUGUCCGGAAUUAUUGGGCGUAAAGGGCUCGUAGGCGGUCCAUCGCGUCGGGAGUGAAAAGCUGGGGCUUAACCCCAGUCCUGCUUUCGAUACGGGUGGACUAGAGGUAGGCAGGGGAGAACGGAAUUCCUGGUGUAGCGGUGAAAUACGUAGAUAUCUGGAGGAACACCGGUGGCGAAGGCGGCGACCUGGUCCAAUACUGACACUCAUACACGAAAGCGUGGGGAUCAAACAGG